rnacentral:rRNA from 1 species
GUGGGGAAUCUUCCGCAAUGGACGAAAGUCUGACGGAGCAACGCCGCGUGAGUGAAGAAGGUUUUCGGAUCGUAAAGCUCUUUCGUUAGGGACGAACGUGCUCUUUGUGAAUAAUGAGGAGUAAUGACGGUACCUAAAUAAGAAGCCACGGCUAACUACGUGCCAGCAGCCGCGGUAAUACGUAGGUGGCAAGCGUUGUCCGGAAUUAUUGGGCGUAAAGCGCGCGCAGGCGGGAUAUCAAGUCUGUCUUAAAAGUGCGAGGCUCAACCUCGUGAGGGGACAGAAACUGGUAUUCUUGAGGGUCGGAGAGGAAAGUGGAAUUCCAAGUGUAGCGGUGAAAUGCGUAGAGAUUUGGAAGAACACCAGUGGCGAAGGCGACUUUCUGGACGAUGUCUGACGCUGAGGCGCGAAAGCUAGGGGAGCGAACGGGAUUAGAAACCCCGGUAGUCC